rnacentral:rRNA from 1 species
CUUAAAUUGAAGAGUUUGAUCAUGGCUCAGAUUGAACGCUGGCGGCAGGCCUAACACAUGCAAGUCGAGCGGAAACGAGUUAUCUGAACCUUCGGGGAACGAUAACGGCGUCGAGCGGCGGACGGGUGAGU